AAAGGAUCCACCUGCUAACCCAGUGCUUUGCUAUGCAUCUGCAUGUACCAGCAUGGAGAACCUGAAGAGGAAUGUGGUUUUAGGCACUGAUCAUCAGCAACAACAGCAGCAAAAUAUUAAUCACAAACAAAAACUUAAAGGAGCCUGUCUAACUCAAAUCACAGCAUUUUUGGAAAUGUAAUGUUAUGGGAGCAGCCACUUCAGCGUAGAAGGAAGUUCUCCAGACUUCAAAGGGGACCUGGUUCAAGGCUAAAUGAAGUCACUAGUUGAAAUUCAAUGGACUUUUGAAUCAUGCCCUUCCUAAGUGAAAUGACACCAAGGAAUGUAAGAAAAGCAUGUAAUGUCAUCACUGUGCACUGCUUGGAGCACUCGCUCCUUUUUG
rnacentral:lncRNA from 1 species